rnacentral:rRNA from 1 species
UACAGAGGGUGCAAGCGUUGUCCGGAAUUACUGGGCGUAAAGAGCUCGUAGGUGGUUUGUCGCGUUGUUCGUGAAAACUCACAACUCAAUUGUGGGCGUGCGGGCGAUACGGGCAGACUGGAGUACUGCAGGGGAGACUGGAAUUCCUGGUGUAGCGGUGGAAUGCGCAGAUAUCAGGAGGAACACCGGUGGCGAAGGCGGGUCUCUGGGCAGUAACUGACGCUGAGGAGCGAAAGCGUGGGGAGCGAACAGG